CAGCCGCCGCGGGAAAACAGAGGGUGCAAGCGUUAAUCGGAAUUACUGGGCGUAAAGCGCGCGUAGGUGGUUUGUUAAGUCGAAUGUGAAAUCCCCGGGCUCAACCUGGGAACUGCAUCCGAAACUGGCAAGCUAGAGUAUGGUAGAGGGUAGCGGAAUUUCCUGUGUAGCGGUGAAAUGCGUAGAUAUAGGAAGGAACACCAGUGGCGAAGGCGACUACCUGGACUGAUACUGACACUGAGGUGCGAAAGCGUGGGGAGCAAACAGGAUUAGAUACCCCAGUAGUCCCUGUCUCUUAUAC
rnacentral:rRNA from 1 species